GUUAUAUACUAUAUAAAUAUUAAUAUAAUAUUAAUAUAAUAUAUAUAAUUAUAUAUAUUAAUUAUUAUUAAUAUAUAAAUAUAUUUAUUAUACAAUAACUAAUUAUAUUUCUAUGCAAUUAAAGUGAAAUAACUGAACCUGAACAUAGGAACCUGAUAAAAAUGCUCAUUUUAGAAGAAAAUUACAGACAGAUAUAUAUAAAAAAAGACAUAUACUUUAUAUUAUAAUGUAUUUAUAUACUACAUACACACACUAUAUAUAUAUGUAUGUGAAUAUAUAUCUCUUUUGCAUGACAUGCAAGGAAAUCAGAAAGGAAUUUGUAUUAAGAUGGGGCAAAAUCCACUUACACAUGAAUCACGCCAGUAAUAUUGCAUAACCAGAAGUUCAUUCACCUAGAAAACAGGUCUGUCCUCAGAAACAUCCUUUAAAGCUUAAAUAAUAAACUCUUUUGAUGAAUGAUUCAUGUGAGUGCAUUAACAAAAAUACAAGCUUCACAUCUUUUUGCUUACUUCUUUUUUAAGUGCAUUACUGUAUUUCUAAAGAACAGCACAAAAACUGAGCUAAAUCUGUAUUGAACCAAGAACAUUCUUUAAAGGCGGAACGGAAAGAAAGUGAAUUUCUCUCAGAAUGUCCCUGAAUGUGUCUCGUGUGUCCUGGUUCAUCAGUAUCUGAGUUCUGAAGGCUGAGAAAGUAAAGUGAUCUGAGGCUGUUUCUGAAGGGUUGUGCAUGUAGACGGAUUCAGAGCCCUGGCAAUGCAACAUCAAUGCUGCUACUGUACUGUACUGUACUGUACUGUCAUGUGUUCAUCAUUUCAUGCUACUUUUUGUACUUGUAAAUGCACCUUCUCGUUUUGUUUUUUCUUGUUUGAAAUGGUUGCCAGACACAGAUUAAGGUUAGUGCUGGACUAAACUAAUCUGUUAAUCUAUUGUAAAUGCUUCAGAAUCUGGGAUUUGGCUUUAAGUGUGAGCCAGACAGUAAAAGACACCUCCUAAUCUGCAUUUCUGCUCAGUUACAUUAUUCUAAUGUGAAUUUUUAACAGACCUAAUAAAGUUUUGACUUAAAAUUCAA
ensembl:lncRNA